CCGGGGAAAGAUGGGCUCCGGGGCUCGGGACCGAAGGGGCGUCUCUCCGUCGUUGUUGCUGGGACGCGUGUCUGCGCUGCUGCCUUAGGCGCCCCGAGCGUUCCGAGAGGAAGAACAGUGGAAGAGACUGCAGCCUAAAGACUUUUAAAAUUAACUUGGCAUCACUUUUCUCAGCUCAAAGGCUAAGCAAAAAAGCAGUGUCAUUUAUUCUAAGAAAUAACUUCUUAAAGGUUAAAGCUGAAAAAGAUUCAAGUUACUUUUGGAUAACAACUUACAGAGGCCAAAUGACAUAGGAUGAAGGCUGUUCGUAACCUGCUGAUUUAUAUAUUUUCCACCUAUCUCCUGGUUAUGUUUGGAUUUAAUGCUGCCCAAGACUUCUGGUGUUCAACUUUGGUGAAGGGAGUCAUUUAUGGAUCGUAUUCUGUAAGUGAAAUGUUUCCCAAAAACUUUACAAACUGCACUUGGACGCUGGAAAAUCCAGAUCCAACCAAAUAUAGCAUUUACCUGAAAUUUUCCAAAAAGGACCUUAGCUGCUCUAACUUUUCCCUCCUGGCUUAUCAGUUUGAUCAUUUUUCCCAUGAAAAAAUCAAGGAUCUUUUAAGAAAGAAUCAUUCUAUAAUGCAACUCUGCGAAUCCAAGAAUGCUUUCGUUUUUCUACAGUAUGACAAAAAUUUUAUUCAAAUACGUCGGGUCUUUCCAACCGAUUUCCCAGGAUUACAGAAAAAAGGGGAAGAAGAUCAGAAAUCUUUUUUUGAAUUUUUGGUGUUGAACAAGGUGAGCCCGAGCCAGUUUGGUUGUCAUGUGUUAUGCACUUGGUUGGAGAGCUGCUUAAAGUCAGAAAAUGGGAGAACGGAGUCCUGCGGGAUCAUGUAUACAAAGUGCACCUGCCCUCAGCACUUGGGAGAGUGGGGGCUCGACGACCAGGCGCUGGUUUUGUUAAAUAACGUGGUGUUGCCCCUGAAUGAGCAGACUGAGGGCUGCCUGACCCAAGAGCUGCAAACCACCCAGGUCUGCAAUCUUACCAGGGAGGCCAAGCGACCGCCCAAAGAAGUCUCUCUUGGAGAAUUAAAUGGUGAGGUCUGCCCAGGACUCACAGACCUGAAAGAAGAAGGAAACGCCAGCAGGGAUCCCCGUGGAAGGUGGCCGUUUGAAGAUGAAAAAGGAUGGUUGGAGUCUGAAGGGAACACAGAGCAGCCCAGAGAAAGCUGAGUGCUCGGGAAUUGAAGGAAGGAGGCAAAACCCACAAGAGCAAGGGGAGAUUCAAAAUCUUUAUGAUAGAAGAGAGGCGAGCAGGGGCUGAGCACUUUGCUUGUCUGGACGUGGGAAGGUUGCAGCCACAGGGGAAAUGUUUUUUCUGAAGAAUUAACUGAGGGCAUUUGCUUUGGAACAUUACCUCUUAAGACGUUCUGUUUUCUGAUAAAUGGUGUUUUGUUGUUUGUGUCAACCUUCUGCUGUAGACGUGGUCCCUUUGUUUAAAUUUCCACUAAGAUAAAAUGCUUUUCGUAUAUGAGCUCAUUCAAGGAAGGUAAUUCUCAGGUAGAGUAAAAACCCCUCUACCUUUUCCCAGGCCCUGUUAGAAAGAGAUUUUACAAAACAGUGAUCGAUGUGCCUUCCAAGUCUAGGGUUCUGGUUGAUGGGCAUGCUGGCUAACUCAGCUCUGGAAAAUCUCUUCAGGUCAAAUUAAGGGUAGGGGACAGAGUACUCCUGCUGAGGAGACAGCUGUAUGUAACUUUCAUUUAAACGCCACCAUGAAAAAAUUGCCCUGGUAUAAUUUAAAGCAUUUGGUUAAGGGGAGAGUUACUUUAUAAUUAAAUAACGCUGCUUCCUUCCUAUCUACCCCAUGGAUAUGAGAGUUAAGAACUAAAACAAUUUAAUAGGAUAAUAUUUCAAGAGCAUACAGAGCGCUUGCAGUCCAGGGGGAACAGUGGGCACAGAGGCAGCACCAAAAGCUGGGCUUGUGAAUGCUCAGGUACGGACACAAAGCGGGAACUCAGUGCAUCCGGCUCAUUGUUUAGGAAAUCUGUUUGCUGGAGUGAUGCUGGGUUGCAUAUUUACAAAAC
ensembl:lincRNA